rnacentral:lncRNA from 1 species
CAAAAUUCACAAUUUGGAACUUGAUAUUAUAAAUCAAUUAGUACCCAACAAAAGAAUUAGAAAAACACCAACAUCACUAUACAUCAGGAAAAACCACAUAACUAAUAUAUAACUAUAUAUUACUACAUGUGAGUAUUUCACUAUAUAUGACUACUUGUAUAUGACUACAUAUGAUUAUAUACGACUACAUGUGACUAUAUAUUAAUACAUGUGACUAUAUAUGACUACAUCUAUAUGACAACAUGUGACUAUAUAUGACUACUUGUAUAUGACUACAUAUGAUUAUAUAUGACUACAUGUACAUGACUAUAUAUGACUACAUGUAUAUGACCACAUGUGACUAUAAGAGUAUAUAGUAUAGUUUGUAUUUAUGGCUUCAAAUCCUACUUUUCAACACGAUAGUAACUUC